AAAAAGAAACCUAUUCCCUUCUGCCAAUACGUGUUUUGCCAAAAAAGAAAACAAAACCUAUUCCCUUUCGAUAGUCUCUAGACUGCGAAAUUGCUCCAAUUAACAGUCUCUGGUUAACAAAAUUGCUGCAGCCUGCGACAGUCUCUGCCCUGCCACAGCUCCGAUGAUCUUCUUCCCAAAUCCUAGGUGGACCCUUUUAUGGGAGCUCUAUAAAACCAAAAUAUAAGAUUGAACUUCUUCCGUAAGAUUCACCUUUUCAUCCGGUAAGUUGCUUGUCAUGUCUUUUACUUUUUGAAGUUCGAUUAGACGCCUCUCAUAAACUUUGUAUGCCAUUGAAAAUUUAAGAUUUUGAUGCUUUUACAUAUGAAAGAAGUUACUGAAAUAGUAUAGAUCCAUGUUUGUGGAAAUUGGGACCUAAUGUCACCUCUUAGUCUCGCUCACACAGGAUCAUCCAAGAGUUUCAUUUCAUUUGGAAGAAUCACUGGUCUUAAUUUGUAAAAUGAAAUGGCAUAUUUAGAUACAUCAUGCAGGCUAGACUUCUCUUUUUCUUUCAUAAGAACCAAGUUCACUGUACAUGCCACAAGUAGUAUUCAUGCUUCAUCAUUGUUUAGUUUUUCUUAGAUAAGACCGCUAAUUUAUGCUUUAGUGUUGUCAAAAGCGAAAAGCUCUAAAAAGCGUUCCAGGUCGAUUCGGGCUUCAAAUGAAAAGCGCAACUAAAGUACGGGAUUUAGUUAAAAAAAAAGGUGCAACUUAGGGGAAAAAAUAAAAUACAUAUGUAAUUCAAGAAAGAAGUAACAAACCCAUUCCUAAUUUCUUUGUCAACAACUAAUGUACUUAUUUGUUGAUAAUAUUUAUCGUUUAGCACCACUCGAUUCAAGAUAGAACUCAUAGAAAAUGAGGCGUACACCUUAGUGCUUUGCCUACAUUGAAGCGCAACAUAAGCAAGGCGAAGCACCCUCCCUGAGCUUUUCUGAGCUUCAGUGCUUAAGCGCGCCUUAAAUGAGCCUUUGACAACACAUGCUUAAAUUGUUUGUAUAUAAUAUACCUAUCCGUUGUUUAACACCAUUCAAAUGAGACAACAAUUAAUGCUUAAAUUGUUUUAGAACUUGUCCAUUGUUUACUGUAAAACUUAUAAUUUUCUUUAUAUUUCUCCUUCUUUUGAUACGUCUUUGACUUCCACAGUUAAUACUUUUAAGGGGAUUGGUUAUUGUUGUAGUAUUUUGACUUGGCUUAGAAUUUUGUGGUUAAUUUUAAUAUGCUAUGUUGGAGUUUUGAUACAUAAAAACAGUGAAGCCUGCUACAUAGGUUGCCACUUCAUUUUCCGUAUUUGAACUUAAGAAUAAGAGGUAUAAAUAAAGAAAAGCUAGGAAAAUGCCUUGAUCUACACAUGCUCAAAUUGUAUUAGAACUUUCUAAUCCAAUUUUAUAAAUAGAAAGUUUCUCAGUUAUAUUGUAGAUCAUCAGACUAAGCAAAUUAAGUAUAUUUGGCUGCAUGUUCUUUUUAUCUGGUAAGUAAAAGGAAAGCAGCUAUAGGCGAAUCAUUUUGCUAGAUCCAGAAAAGCUACAUUUGACCUAGAAAUUGCCUAAGCUUUUAAGCGUCUCUAUUUCAUUCAACAUUUGUUAUAUCCACGUGCCAACAUUGUCAUGGUAAAAAGUAGGAAUAAUUUUAUUAAGUUGCGUCUCUUUGUUUUUCCUUAACGAAAUCUUUUCCUCUUUUUUCCCGUAUUUCAUGUUGUAAAAUAUAUUCAUAAAUGUGUUAAUUUCUAUUUUUUUUCCUUCUAGCACAAUCUCAGUAUCCUUCAAUAUAAUUUCGAGGAUUGUUGGAAUAAGUUGGAUGUAAGGAUGGUGCUAAAAACUUGGCAUGCUAGAAUGAAGAUAAAAUGUGAAGGCCGAAGACAUAGCUUUGUAUUCUGGUCUUAACAAAGUAAAUUGAUCCAUUGAAGAGCAUUCUUAAAGUGGGUUGAAAAGCAUUCUGAAGGUGAGUAAUAAGAGAAUGUAUAAUGAACUCAUAACAAAAAAAGAAUACUUAAGUGAGGAUCCAAGCUUCUGGGCCAUACAUUGAUCACUAGAAUAAUAAAUAAUUUGUUAGAGCAAAGAACUAAUUUGAGAACCCAAAUAUUUAGAAUUUGAAGAUGUAAUUGGAAGGAUUUACAGCAUUAAAGUAGUUAUAGGUAUUUGUAGCUAGAAAUGUUGCGGCCACAGUGAUAGCAAGGAGUGCCAAAAGGAAAACAAAAGCAACCAACAUGGUCUUGCCUAUACCUUGUGUUACGAUAUUGGACAACAAGAAGAAAAUUGACACCUAAGGCUUGGAGCAGAGGAUAAGAGAGGACAAGGGGAGUUCACUAAUUCUUUAUUACAUAAACACACAAGAUGUAGGGAAUUCUAUCCAUAUUUGAUAAUUUCAAAUAUUAUACACGGGGAAUGAAAAGAUGGACUAUACCAUAUUUACUGGAUUUGCUUAUUUUUGCACAGAUACAUUCACUAAAACAAGUCAAAGAAGCCUCUGAAAGAUGUUUCAUUUAGUAAAUGGUGCAAAGGAAUGUUGUAAAAUUGCAUGAUUUCGAAUAUGAAGUAGGUUCUGGAAUAAGUGAUUGUCCGUGUUCUCUGAAUAUACUCUGGUCUUAGAUGUUUCAUUGUUUCAUCUUCUUGCUGUUUUUACUGUGCAUAAACUGAGGUUUUAUUAUGAUAUUGUUAACAAAUGAGACAAUUCAUGCGCAAAUAUGCUCCUAAUGUAUCUAUGACUCAAAGCAAUGGCACCUCAUGUGAACAGGUAACUCCCUUACAUAAGCUUUAGACAUUUUUAAUGAAAUUCUGAUCAUAUAAAACUAUUAUUAUCUAACAUGUUAAUAUUUAUUAGAUCCUUGACGCCAACAAUGGACGUGAACGAGUACCACAAACAUCAAGGAUACCUAGAGUUGUUGAAAAUGCCCAACCUUCUCACGGUCAUAUAGUUUGAUGUUCGAUGAUUUAGCAGGUGGAAGAUUCAAAAUGAUGAAAAGUUGCGGAAAUCAUUUAAAUACCAUCAUUUCGUCUGGAUUAGUUAUAUAAUGACAUUAGCUAUUUAGUUCAAAAAAUAUAAGUUUAGUUACUAUGACAUCAAUAUUUUUUAUUAGUACUUCCUUUUGUUUGUAAAGAUUUAAUGAGGUAUAUUUUUUUUGUUACUAUUAAUAUUUUUUAUUA